rnacentral:tRNA from 1 species
GCGAGUGUAGCUCAGGGGUAGAGCAUCACCUUGCCAAGGUGGGGGUCGUGGGUUCGAAUCCCAUCACUCGCU